UUUAUGCUAAUUGCAGCUUAUGCACCAGAUAAAAAAAAAUGUAUUUAGAAUAUAUAUAUAUAUAUAUAUUUAGUUUAGAGUGUUGAUGUCAUCUUAACCCUGUGUGUGUGUGUGUGUCAGAAGCAGAACAGUUCAAUCAAAAACAAAGAGUCUGCUACACACACAUACACACACCCACACACCCACUCACCUACACACACACACACACACACACACUUGUUUUUCUUCCACUUUGGGGACUUUCCAUUGGCUUUUGUUGUUUUGAAUACUGAGCUAAUGAUAUGUCAUAUCCCCUAACCCUACAAAUGACCUUUUUCAGUUUCAUUAAGAUGUUAUUUUGCUUAUUAUUUAGCUGUUUUCCCUCUUGUGGACCAUUAGUCACGACAAUGUAGGGACUUCAAGUUUUAACAUCCUUUUAGCAACAAUUGGCCUCUACAUUGUAGCUAGACCCAGACACACCACAGCUGCACCCCACUUUCCACAGAGUUCAUUUGUGAGAUGCUAUACGAUGUUAAACUGUCAGUCUAACCUUGGCUAAUAUGUAGUUAAGUAGUCAAAAUGUAUUUAUUAGAAGUUAUGCACAGAAGUGUUUUGGUGCUGUUGUCAUAUCAGACAGUUCUGCUCCUACACCAGAGAGAGUCUGUCGGUUUUACUAGAAGGUCCAGUAAUGGCAUUUUUAUGAAAAAUUAUGAGGUCCAUAAAAAAAAAAAAAAAAUAGUGUAUGUGUAUAGUAUAGUGCUGUCCCACAGUUCUAUGAUUGAUAUAAAAUAUCAAAUGGAAACUCUUAACCUAAAGUUAUAAACUAAAAUUUGUGGUAAAUUUCUCAUAGUGAUAAAACUGAUUUCCUGUGAUGUAUUAGAUUGCAACGGUUAUCCAUCUUACUCUUCCAAUUUUAAUAGAUGUUUUCUGUUCAGAACAAUUCAGGGUUUGUGCACACCAUGUUCAAAACUGAUCUGAGAUGAAUCAUUAGAUUUAGCUGGCUUGGUUUAUGGAACAUAGCUGCCAGUUAAUUGCUCAUGACAUACAUGUAAAGUACACUUUUAGUCUAUUUUAAACAACAUGAAUGAUUCAGUGUAAUCAAAAGAUGAGGUCAGCCAACUUAAAUCAGUCAAGCUAAUCAUUUUCUAUUACUAAUCUGAAUAAACUCAAACCGCAUUGUUGCAACCGUUCUCCAGAACACUCUGCACAGGCACAAAGUUUGAAAGAUGAAAAAUCACAUUUUGAGACAGGGGUCCCUGUAAUCUAAACCCACCCUUGAGGGACACCACCCAUCACAUUCAUUCCUUCAUCUGUCAGGCUCCUGGUACCGGCUUGUUGCCAUGGUAAUACCGUCUGGUGGUGCAUUCGGAAGAGCUGUAGAGUCGUAAUUGGCCUCAGUCCUGGGUGAGAUUUUGAAUAGCUACUUCCGUGCCAUUGCUCUUGUUUAAAAUAACUAUUGAAUACUGAUUAAAGAUUCUGUUUUUAGGAUAUAUACACAAAAUACUGAGCCGAGAUGCAGGAGGAAAAUGGAGGCAAUUUUCUUUUUAUUUGUAUUUUCUCUUGCUUAACAUUUGCAUCUCAUUAAAAAAAAUUAUCGCCCUCUCUAUUUAUCACUCUAUCUAUAUCUCUGUUUCAUAGUCUCUCUCCUGCCAGCAAAUACACAUGCAUGCAACAGGGCUGAUGGUUCGAUGAGUCACCAUCUGUUGUGUUCUAGGUGCUGACUUUUGCACCAAUCUCAUAUCUGAGGUCAGACUCGCCUCAGCUGGUGGUCUUCUUCUAGUUGAUGUGACAUUUCAAGUGUCCUGCAGGCAGGGUUGGCGCGUUUUCACAACAAAACCUGUCCAAUUGCUACUCAAAACUAGCAGAAUAACUUGUCGAGGGGGGUCCACAGGUAAAAAACUUGAUCUAUUUGUUGGAGGGGUACCCCAGGUAAAAUUCACAUUCCAAUUGCUAAAUAUCACGUUUUUAGGGUGCUUCAACCUGCGGACAUGAAAACCGUGGCAACCCGUUAAAUUAUCCCAGUUCCACAGGAAAACUGCAGACUCGGCAACAUUGCCUGCGGGGUGAUAAUUUCUCUAUAGUUCCUCUAAAACUAUUUUUGUCGAACAACAACAACAAUUAUAAUAAUAACUGCCAGUAAAGAAAUUGAUAUUGUUUUAAAUAAUUAAUAUUAUAAAUAUUCUAUAAUUUAAUUAUAAUUGAUUAAUAUAAUAUACAGAUAUAAUAUGAAUUAGUAAUUUAUCAAAUCAAUAAGUAACUAUUAAGUAAUUAAUGAGUAAUUAUUGACACACGCUGACCUCAUAUAAGAUUGAGAACUUUCAAUAUUUAUACUUAUUAUAUUCUUGUACUGUUUUUGUACUAUAUAUUAUUACACUGCAUGAAGAUUGAAUUUAAUUAAACUAGUCGCCGCAGACUGAAAGGUUCUUUAAAUGUAAUUUGCUAAUCUAACUAUCAAGUCAUUUACUAAAUGGCUGAAGCUGAUUCGCUGCUGAUUCUGCAGCCAAUUGCACAACAUUCUCUGAAACCCUCCACCUCCCCCUGCUCCACCUGUCUCGAACUGCUAUGGGAUUUAUGUAUGACUGUUUAUGCAGCAGCAGUAUAUCUUACAUGCUCACACAUCUCUGACUCUGUUACAAUUUGCAAGUCCAUACUUUUAGCAGUUCGUAGCAGAUCUAGUCCACCAAAACCAAAUACAUUAACAUGCUAAACUAUUCUAUAAAUUGUCAUUAUUGAAGUUAACCCUAACUUAAAUUAUCUUGAAAAUGUCUGUAUUAUAUGUCUUUAUUUCAUACUGUACUGCAUACUGUACUUCAAGAGGAAUUAAACUAUGGUAUUGUGCUGUUUUAUAAACUGCUUGCCUUGGAUCCAUCAUAUUAUAUUGAUGAAUUUAUAUAUCAUUCAUCAGCAAUGUCUAUUCAUAGGUCAGUAUAUGAGCUACCAUGUGUUUGCAGUUGAAGAGGUUUAAAAGGUGUUGAUGAGUCAUAUCAGUGAAAGGAAAGACUAAGCAGACGGAAAAUAGAUGCAGUCAGCCUAGGUUUAGCUUGCCAAAGACUGAGAUUAUUAAAUGCAUUUAUGCAAUCAAUGUUCUGAGCCGUCAAUAACAAAGGAGUUUCAAAUCAUCUCAUAUGAACAGAAAGAGCCCAGAGAUUAUUUAUUUGAAGCUGAGAUGGCAUUCAUAAAUGCAUUUAGCAAACAUCAAUAUUUCUACACAAGCAGUUGAAAAUAUGAUGUGUGCAGAAAGAAAAAUACAGAAGUUAGUCACAAGCUUAUUUACAAACUUGAUACAGAAGCUUUUUUUUUUUUUUUUUUUUAAGAGAUCAUCCAAUGAGCAUUCACUUCACUGGUUUGCUCCAAAUUUUGGAUCGUAUACCACAAAUCAUAACGUAAAUGGAGCAAUGGUUUAUUAAACACUUCACUAGAAUAAUAAAACGAGUGAUGUUUAACAUUUAGUGAAUAGCCUGUAAUAAAACCAAGCAGCAUCUGGGUCACAUAGAUGAAUAAAUAAAAAUAAAUACAUAAAUAAAAAAAUGGAUGUAUGCACCAUUCAAACAUCUAAGACAACUUGACAACACUUUUAGAAAAUGUAAAAUGUUGUUGUUUUGGGAUAUUCAGAUUCAGGUUUCUUUUUUACCUCACAAAUGUCUCAAUCUCAGCUACGCCUACAGUACCUUGCCAUGGGAUUCCCGCCAGACGCAAUUUGGAAAGGGUUUGUUCGAUGACAAAUAUUCCACAGAGACUUGGUACAAAAAGUUGUGAAAAUGAGCCAGGCUUCUAAAGAAGACCCAUCAUCUCUGUGGACCAAUUACAGUUAUCAUCCUAUCAAACAAAAGAGAGACAUUCAGCGACGAAGACCGUCUUUGGGAAGUAUUAUCAUGGCUAAUAUUAUUGUUCUCUAUAUCUCUUUUUAUAUCUUCAGAUAAGCAGUAGCGCUUAUUACAUUAUCUAAAGACACAGCUGAUUUCCCUCCUCAAUCGAGACAUGGACAGAACAGAGAACAAAGUGUCCACCAUCUCCCCGCAAAAACAGACAGUAAAAAAUAGAUCCAAGUCCACAGAGGAGGUACAGCAAGCCAAAAAGGCCUUUCAUACACCACAAAAAUCUCUUCCGGCUAAAUCAGAAACCGAACAACUAGAGGAAACCUCAGAACUGAGUGCCUCAUCAGAGGAGUUCAAAUGAUUGCUGGAUUCAAACUUCGGGGCUUUGAGAUUUAGACAGCUCAACUGGAAUUAUGGGUAAUAACAAGAGGAUGAUUCAGUGUCUCCAUUUAUAAAAUAGUGACUCAGUUCUAAUUAGUUUAGUUAUCAUAGAAGAAAACAAUAAUCAUGUGUUCUUGAAUUUGUAUGAGUCUGAUCAUGUUUGUGAAAUAAAUGCAUAACUGG